rnacentral:rRNA from 1 species
CCCUUAGAUGUUCUGGGCCGCACGCGCGCUACACUGAUGCAUUCAACGAGUUUUUCCUGGUCCGAGAGGAAUGGGUAACCUUUUGAAAGUGCAUCGUGCUAGGGAUAGACUAUUGCAAUUAUUGGUCUUCAACGAGGAAUUCCUAGUAAACGCAAGUCAUCAGCUUGCAUUGAUUACGUCCCUGCCCUUUGUACACACCGCCCGUCGCACCUACCGAUUGAAUGGUCCGGUGAAAUCUCGGGACGGCGGCUUGGUCGCUUGCGUCCGACUGCUGAAACUUGAUUAAACCAUAUCAUUUAGAGGAAGGUGAAGUCGUAACA